GAUGAACGCUGGCGGCGUGCCUAAUACAUGCAAGUCGAGCGAACGGACGAGAAGCUUGCUUCUCUGAUGUUAGCGGCGGACGGGUGAGUAACACGUGGAUAACCUACCUAUAAGACUGGGAUAACUUCGGGAAACCGGAGAUAAUACCGGAUAAUAUUUUGAACCGCAUGGUUCAAAAGAGAAAGACGGUCUUGCUGUCACUUCUAGAUGGUUCUGGGCUGCAUUAGCUAGUUGGUAAGGUAACGGCUUACCAAGGCAACGAUGCAUAGCCGACCUGAGAGGGUGAUCGGCCACACUGGAGCGGGGACACGGUCCAGACUCCUACGGGAGGCAGCAGUAGGGAAUCGUCCGCAAUGGGCGAGAGCCUGACGGAGCGACGCCGCGUGAGUGAUGAAAGUCUUCGGAUCGUAAAACUCUGUUAUUAGUGAAGAACAUAUGUGUAAGUAACUGUGCACAUCUUGACGGUACCUAGUCAGAAAGCCACGGCUAACUACGUG
rnacentral:rRNA from 1 species